AUUUAAACGUCCCACAUCGAGGUAGUAAAUGAAUGGGGACAAACCUUCCUCUAUAUAAUUGAGGGAAGUCACCCUUUGUGUUUGAUCCUUGUAAAAGGAAAACGAAGGGAAUCAAAGCUAAGCUCAGCUUUGAGGUGAUUGUGACCUUGAUUGAAAGCAUCUUCUUGUUUAAGUUGGACCAGUUUAAGUUGGACUCGAGGAAAGGGUAAAGAUAAACAUAAAUAGAAGUGGGACCGAGCUGAAGCAGAACCUCGCCUCGAUGAUGUACAUAUGGCUACUUUGACCUGGGGAUGGCCUAGUUAUAUGUUUUGUUAUAUGUCACCUAGUAAUGACACGUUUUAAGUAUGGUUUGUAUUAAAGAAUGAAAGUAGACUUUAUAUGUGUGUAAUAUGGUUUUUUUGUUGGAGAAAAAAAAAAUGCUAUUGCUUUUA